CCUACGGGGGGCAGCAGUGGGGAAUAUUGCACAAUGGGCGCAAGCCUGAUGCAGCAACGCCGCGUGCGGGAUGACGGCCUUCGGGUUGUAAACCGCUUUCAGCUUCGACGCGGUAGAAGCAGAAGAAGGACCGGCCAACUACGUGCCAGCAGCCGCGGUGAUACGUAGGGUCCGAGCGUUGUCCGGAAUUAUUGGGCGUAAAGGGCUUGUAGGCGGUUUGUCGCGUCGGAAGUGAAAACUCAGGGCUUAACCCUGAGCCUGCUUCCGAUACGGGCAAACUAGAGGGAUGCAGGGGAGAACGGAAUUCCUGGUGGAGCGGUGGAAUGCGCAGAUAUCAGGAGGAACACCGGUGGCGAAGGCGGUUCUCUGGCAUUCCUGACGCUGAGAAGCGAAAGCGUGGGGAGCAAACAGGCUUAGAUACCCUUGUAGUC
rnacentral:rRNA from 1 species